GAUGAACGCUGGCGGCGUGCCUAAUACAUGCAAGUAGAACGCUGAAGGAGGAGCUUGCUCUUCUGGAUGAGUUGCGAACGGGUGAGUAACGCGUAGGUAACCUGCCUGGUAGCGGGGGAUAACUAUUGGAAACGAUAGCUAAUACCGCAUGACAACAGUUAUUGCAUGAUAACUGUUUAAAAGGGGCAACUGCUCCACUACCAGAUGGACCUGCGUUGUAUUAGCGAGUUGGUGAGGUAACGGCUCACCAAGGCGACGAUACAUAGCCGACCUGAGAGGGUGAUCGGCCACACUGGGACUGAGACACGGCCCAGACUCCUACGGGAGGCAGCAGUAGGGAAUCUUCGGCAAUGGACGGAAGUCUGACCGAGCAACGCCGCGUGAGUGAAGAAGGUUGUCGGAUCGUAAAGCUCUGUUGUAAGAGAAGAACGAGUGUGAGAGUGGAAAGUUCACACUGUGACGGUAUCUUACCAGAAAGGGACGGCUAACUACGUG
rnacentral:rRNA from 1 species